rnacentral:rRNA from 1 species
GUAUCAGAAGUGCGAAUGCUGACAUGAGUAACGAUAAUGCGGGUGAAAAACCCGCACGCCGGAAGACCAAGGGUUCCUAUCCCAUGUUAAUCAGGGUAGGGUAAGUCGACCCCUAAGGCGAGGCCGAAAGGCGUAGUCGAUGGGAAACGGAUUAAUAUUUCCGUACUUGGUAUAAUUGCGAUGGGGGGACGGAGCAGGCUAAGCAAGCAUGGCGUUGGUAGUCCAUGUGAAAGUGAGUAGGCUAGCGACUUAGGUAAAUCCGGGUUGCUGUUAGGCUGAGACACGAGACGAGUCACUAAGGUGAUGAAGUUGCUGAUGCCAUACUUCCAGGAAAAGCCUCUAAGCUUCAGAUUAUACCGAAUCGUACCCCAAACCGACACAGGUGGUCAGGUAGAGAAUACUAAGGCGCUUGAGAGAACUCGGGUGAAGGAACUAGGCAAAAUCGUACCGUAACUUCGGGAGAAGGUACGCUCCUAUCUGUGAUGAGACUUGCUCUCUAAGCGGACGGGAGCCGCAGUGACCAGGUGGCUGGGACUGUUUAUUAAAAACACAGCACUGUGCAAAAUCGCAAGAUGACGUAUACGGUGUGACACCUGCCCGGUGCCGGAAGGUUAAUUGAUGGGGUUAGUUUUCGGACGAAGCUCUUGAUCGAAGCCCCGGUAAACGGCGGCCGUAACUAUAACGGUCCUAAGGUAGCGAAAUUCCUUGUCGGGUAAGUUCCGACCUGCACGAAUGGUGUAACCAUGGCCACGCUGUCUCCACCCGAGACUCAGUGAAAUUGAAAUCGCAGUGAAGAUGCUGUGUACCCGCGGCUAGACGGAAAGACCCCGUGAACCUUUACUACAGCUUGGCACUGAACAUUGAACCUACAUGUGUAGGAUAGGUGGGAGACUAAGAAGCAGAGACGCUAGUUUUUGUGGAGUCGUCCUUGAAAUACCACCCUUGUAGUUUUGAUGUUCUAACGUUGGCCCCUGAAUCGGGGUUACGGACAGUGCCUGGUGGGUAGUUUGACUGGGGCGGUCUCCUCCCAAAGAGUAACGGAGGAGCACGAAGGUUGGCUAAGUACGGUCGGACAUCGUACGGUUAGUGUAAUGGUAGAAGCCAGCUUAACUGCGAGACAGACACGUCGAGCAGGUACGAAAGUAGGUCAUAGUGAUCCGGUGGUUCUGAAUGGAAGGGCCAUCGCUCAACGGAUAAAAGGUACUCCGGGGAUAACAGGCUGAUACCGCCCAAGAGUUCAUAUCGACGGCGGUGUUUGGCACCUCGAUGUCGGCUCAUCACAUCCUGGGGCUGAAGUCGGUCCCAAGGGUAUGGCUGUUCGCCAUUUAAAGUGGUACGCGAGCUGGGUUUAGAACGUCGUGAGACAGUUCGGUCCCUAUCUGCCGUGGGCGUUUGAGAAUUGAGAGGGGUUGCUCCUAGUACGAGAGGACCGGAGUGAACGAACCGCUGGUGUUCGGGUUGUCAUGCCAAUGGCACUGCCCGGUAGCUACGUUCGGAACUGAUAAGCGCUGAAAGCAUCUAAGCGCGAAGCAGGCCUCGAGAUGAGUUCUCACUAGACUUUUAAAGUCUCUGAAGGGCCGUUGAAGACUACAACGUUGAUAGGCAAGAUGUGGAAGCAUAGUGAUAUGUUAAGCUAACUUGUACUAAUUACCCGUGAGGCUUAACCAUACAACGCCAAACGCGUUU